rnacentral:rRNA from 1 species
ACGCUGGCGGCGUGCCUAAUACAUGCAAGUAGAACGCUGAAGGAGGAGCUUGCUUCUCUGGAUGAGUUGCGAACGGGUGAGUAACGCGUAGGUAACCUGCCUGGUAGCGGGGGAUAACUAUUGGAAACGAUAGCUAAUACCGCAUAAUAGUAGAUGUUGCAUGACAUUUGCUUAAAAGGUGCAAUUGCAUCACUACCAGAUGGACCUGCGUUGUAUUAGCUAGUUGGUGGGGUAACGGCUCACCAAGGCGACGAUACAUAGCCGACCUGAGAGGGUGAUCGGCCACACUGGGACUGAGACACGGCCCAGACUUCUACGGGAGGCAGCAGUUGGGAAUCUUCGGCAAUGGACGGAAGUCUGACCGAGCAACGCCGCGUGAGUGAAGAAGGUUUUCGGAUCGUAAAGCUCUGUUGUAAGAGAAGAACGAGUGUGAGAGUGGAAAGUUCACACUGUGAGGGUAUCUUACCAGAAAGGGACGGCUAACUACGUGCCAGCAGCCGCGGUAAUACGUAGGUCCCGAGCGUUGUCCGGAUUUAUUGGGCGUAAAGCGAGCGCAGGCGGUUAGAUAAGUCUGAAGUUAAAGGCUGUGGCUUAACCAUAGUACGCUUUGGAAACUGUUUAACUUGAGUGCAAGAGGGGAGAGUGGAAUUCCAUGUGUAGCGGUGAAAUGCGUAGAUAUAUGGAGGAACACCGGUGGCGAAAGCGGCUCUCUGGCUUGUAACUGACGCUGAGGCUCGAAAGCGUGGGGAGCAAACAGGAUUAGAUACCCUGGUAGUCCACGCCGUAAACGAUGAGUGCUAGGUGUUAGACCCUUUCCGGGGUUUAGUGCUGCAGCUAACGCAUUAAGCACUCCGCCUGGGGAGUACGACCGCAAGGUUGAAACUCAAAGGAAUUGACGGGGGCCCGCACAA